UACGUAGGGGGCAAGCGUUGUCCGGAAUCAUUGGGCGUAAAGAGCGCGUAGGCGGUCCGGUAAGUCGGUUGUGAAAACUGGGGGCUCAACCCUCAGAGGCCGACCGAUACUGCUGGGCUAGAGUCCGGAAGAGGCGAGUGGAAUUCCUGGUGUAGCGGUGAAAUGCGCAGAUAUCAGGAGGAACACCAAUGGCGAAGGCAGCUCGCUGGGACGGUACUGACGCUGAGAAGCGAAAGCAUGGGGAGCGAACAGG
rnacentral:rRNA from 1 species